rnacentral:misc_RNA from 1 species
ACUAUGGAUUUCACACACAUUGAUUCAAGCGUCUUGAAUAGAUGAAGGGACGGAAUAAGGAGAAAUGGGGUAAACAAAUAAUUUCGUAAAAAUGCUCGACUUCAUAGACGACACAUGGUGACAGUAAUCGUUCAGAAUAUAUUUACAAGAGCAGUACAAAGAAUAACGCGAUAUUACACGUACAUAUUUGUUGAUACGUAUACUAACAAGUAAUUGGUAAGCAGGUGAACAGUUUAAUUGUUAAUUGAGGCACGUGACAAUAAGGCAUUUCUACAGAGGACAAAAUACGAUCGUGCAUAUCCAAAGUCGGACUCUUCGCAAGGAUUCUUCGUCUUACGCGCGCAUCCAACUACAAGAAGAGAAAAAAAAGAACCAUGGCCGAACAUUGCGUAUAAUAAUUAACGAGUCUUUGACUUCAAGUCCCGGAACUUUUCACAAAAGCACUAUACGCCGUUGUGACGGAAGAUUCGUCGGUGUUAUACUACCGGAGUGAGAUGGCGGUGGAUUACUGCUCGGUCUGCUCGACACAAGAUU